rnacentral:rRNA from 1 species
CACGUAGGGCGCAAGCGUUGUCCGGAAUUAUUGGGCGUAAAGAGCUCGUAGGCGGUCUGUUGCGUCCGCUGUGAAAACUCGGGGCUUAACCCCGAGCCUGCAGUGGAUACGGGCAGACUAGAGGUAGGUAGGGGAGAAUGGAAUUCCCGGUGUAGCGGUGAAAUGCGCAGAUAUCGGGAGGAACACCUGCGGCGAAGGCGGGUUGCUGGGCCGACACUGACGCUGAGGCGCGAAAGCUAGGGGAGCGAACGGG